rnacentral:lncRNA from 1 species
CCACUUGGGAUGCCCCAAAUAAGCACCAAACCAAAUUUUGGUCAUACUUCAUUAGAGGGUAUUCUCAGUGCAAGUAGAAAUACUUAUAUCUCAUCCAAAAUAGAUCUGAUUCGAAUCUGAUUCGAAGCUGGUUUGAAAUAAUUUUGAAAGACUGUUAAUCCAAACUCCUUAGGACUUUUGUACCCAGUCAAACUUAGAUUUUGGAUCCAUUUAAGUCU